GCCAAUGAUGCUAACUUUGAUCGAAUCUGAAAAUCACAACUCUUGUAUUAUAUGUUGAUUGCAUUUGAACUAGGACGGACUGAGGC